GGCCUGGUGGUCUAGGGGUAUGAUUCCUUCUUAGGGUGGCCGUGGUCUCACAGUCACGUGACUUCCACAUGGAGGAGGUCCCGGGUUCAAAUCCCGGCUAGGCCC